GACGUAGGGCGCGAGCGUUGUCCGGAUUUAUUGGGCGUAAAGAGCUCGUAGGCGGCUUGUCGCGUCGGCUGUGAAAUCCCGUGGCUCAACUGCGGGUCUGCAGCCGAUACGGGCAGGCUAGAGUUCGGUAGGGGAGACUGGAAUUCCUGGUGUAGCGGUGAAAUGCGCAGAUAUCAGGAGGAACACCGAUGGCGAAGGCAGGUCUCUGGGCCGAUACUGACGCUGAGGAGCGAAAGCGUGGGGAUCAAACAGG
rnacentral:rRNA from 1 species